CACGUAGGGCGCAAGCGUUGUCCGGAAUUAUUGGGCGUAAAGAGCUCGUAGGCGGUCUGUUGCGUCUGCUGUGAAAUCUCGGGGCUUAACCCCGAGCCUGCAGUGGAUACGGGCAGACUAGAGGCAGGUAGGGGAGAAUGGAAUUCCCGGUGUAGCGGUGAAAUGCGCAGAUAUCGGGAGGAACACCGGUGGCGAAGGCGGUUCUCUGGGCCUGACCUGACGCUGAGGAGCGAAAGCGUGGGGAGCGAACAGG
rnacentral:rRNA from 1 species